ACUGAGCGGCGGACGGGUGAGUAACGCGUGGGCAACCUGCCUUACACAGGGGGAUAACAGUUAGAAAUGACUGCUAAUACCGCAUAAGACCACAGGACCGCAUGGUCCGGUGGUAAAAACUCCGGUGGUGUAAGAUGGGCCCGCGUCUGAUUAGGUAGUUGGCGGGGUAACGGCCCACCAAGCCGACGAUCAGUAGCCGACCUGAGAGGGUGACCGGCCACAUUGGGACUGAGACGCGGCCCAGACUCCUACGGAAGGCAGCAG
rnacentral:rRNA from 1 species